rnacentral:rRNA from 1 species
AUGCUCAACAAGACCGCGGCGAGCGGCAAGGGUCAAUUCGGUGACCUCACCGACGACCUCCUCCGGCACGUGCUGUCCUUUCUGCCUGCGGCUGAUGCUCUGCAGACUUGCGUGCUCGACACCCGGUGGCGCGACCUCUGGAGGCGCACCACCGACCUCCUCCUAGUCUUUGAUGAGACCAGUUUCCCGAGCUCCGGGCGUUUCAAACAGCUGGUGAAACUCUUCAUCCACCUCCGGGGAAACUCACCUCUCGACAAGUGCAAGAUCGUUGCCUGUGUUGAUGAUGAGGAGGGGUGCACAUACACAAACACCAUGCUGUUGAUCAAGUACGCUCUAAAGUGCCAAGUUAAGGAGCUCCUACUCAGUGUUGCUGUUGAAGAUGAUGACACUGUGUACGACCCAAUAAUACUUGAUGCGCCUCUCAUCUCCCAGCACUUGAAGCUCUUACACCUCGAACAGGUUAACCUGAAAUUCUCCGCUCUGAAUUUCUCGCGCUGCCCGGUAUUAGAGGAUCUAAAGAUGCAACGUUGCGGCAUUGAUGGACGCAGGAUAUCUUCCAAAUCACUAAAGCGUUUGUGCAUUUCCGACUUCUGUUACUUCCCUGAGGAUUUCCACGUUCGGAUAUUUGCCCCGGGUCUUAUCUCUUUGCAACUUGAUGGUUUUAAUGGCUUGACCCCUUCCCUUGAAUACAUGCCAUUUCUAGAAAUAGCUUAUGUUGGGCUUCGCGAUGAAUGCUAUGAUUUCUGUCGUAGUAACCGGCAGGAUUGUGAGUUUGAUGACUGUGGCUGUCAUGCUUAUCCCGUUGGCGAAGGUGUGCUUCUCCAUGGUUUGUCCAAUGCUGUGAAUUUGGAGUUGAUUGCUGAUCAUGGAUCUGAAAGGUUUAUCUACACAUGGGAUUUAAAAUGCUGCCCCAUAUUCGACAAACUGAAGACUCUAUUACUCAGUGAGUGGUUUACAACUGUUGACUUGGUGUGCAUUCUCCAACACUCUCCAAUUCUUGAGAUGCUCACUCUUCAGCUGGAUAACACUAAGAAACUCGUUAGAGCAACAGGAGCCCAAGAAAUGAUCGACCAAUCAUUUGUGUGCUUGCACCUUAAGGUUGUCAACAUUGAAUGUAGAAAGGUUGACGAGGGAGUUCGCAAAAUUUUGACGAUCUUGAGUACAUGUGGCAUACCUCGUGAGCAAAUUGGCAUCAAGGAGCAAUUACGUUACUCAGACCGUUUCAGUUUCCAGAAGCCUCUGUAG